UUAAUCCACCCAGUUUUUGCUUCACCAGCUUUCGCAACCUUCCAAACUGCUGUCAAGAAUGGGGGUCCUGCUGCUCCUACUGCAGUAGGGUCAAAACUAUUGCGUACUGAAUUACUAAGUAGUGCUUGGACUGGUUUCUUUGCUGGUUGCUUACAUACACUGUCAGGACCAGACCACCUUGCUGCUUUGGCUCCACUAUCAAUUGGUCGUUCCAGGAUGGAAAGUGCUGUUGUUGGAGCUCUAUGGGGCUGUGGUCAUGAUGCUGGUCAGGUUAUAUUUGGCUUGCUGUUUCUAUUGCUAAAGGAUCGACUCCGCAUUGAGAUUAUCAGAACUUGGGGCACAAGAGUAGUUGGUUUUACACUACUUGUUAUUGGUGCUAUGGGAAUUAGGGAAGCUUCAGAAGUCCCAACCCCGUGUGUUGCCCUUGAAAAUGGUGAGUGUGAUGUUAGCGUUUAUGAAGCACUAGAAAGCCCAACGGUGGAUAAGAAGAAGAAGAUAGGUUUUGCUACUUUUGCCACUGGGAUUGUCCAUGGGCUGCAACCAGAUGCAUUGAUGAUGGUCUUGCCUGCACUUGCAUUGCCUUCACGCUUGGCUGGUGCUGCAUUUCUCAUCAUGUUCCUAUUGGGGACUGUUGUUGCAAUGGGAAGCUAUACAGUAUUUAUAGGCUCGUGUAGUCAGGCAUUAAAGGAUCGAGUACCAAGAAUUACUGAAAAACUCACUUGGAUUUCUUCUUUCAUUGCAAUUGCUCUUGGCCUGGCCAUUAUCAUUAGCCAGUUUUUUGGAUUUAGCUUGUAUUAAUGCAUCUAAAACAGGCACCAAGAUUCAUAUUUGCAAGCCAGCAUUUAGUGUUAGAGAAAGAUCUUUAGAAAGGAAUAGUCAAUUCAUUUUCUGCUGAAAGAAAAAAGAAAUUUGCAGCAUCUUAUCUCGGUGAGAAACAUCAUCUUUAUUAUUUUGCCUUUUGAGUUUGUACUUUUUGACAUACAAGUGAAGCCUAUGUCUUUAAGAAGUCUUUGUAGUUCAGUCGUGAUAGAAUUUGCGUUCAGAUGAACAAUAUAAGCCUUUAGUUGAAUUAUUUGAUGCAAUACAUUUCUUGUACUCCUCAUUGGAGUCCUCGUAUCUGACUGUUCUUAUGGCUAUGUUGGCAGUCACCUAUCGCAAAUCCC
rnacentral:misc_RNA from 1 species